AGUGAACGCUGGCGGCGGGCCUAAUACAUGCAAGUCGAACGGACGCACAGUAAGCUUUCUCCUUUAAGGGUGGCGAGUGGCGGAUGGGUGAGGCAUAGAUCGGCUUCUACUAUUACGUGGGGGAUUACGGAGGGCAACUUCUGCUAAUAGCUCAUAUGUUCUACGGGAGAAAUCAAGGGUUCUUCGCAGCUUUGCUGUUUCUAUGAGCUGGAGUCGGACUAGCUAGUUGGGGUGGUAAAGGCCCACCAAGGCGACGAUCCGUAGCCGGUCUGAGAGGAUGAUCAGCCACACUGGAACUGAGACACGGUCCAGACUCCUACGGGAGGCAGCAGUAGGGAAUAUUCGGCAAUGGGCGCAAGCCUGAUCCAGCCAUGCCGCGUGAGUGAUGAAGGCCUUCGGAUCGUAAAACCCUUUUAUUAGGGAAGAAAAACAGCGGAUGAAACCACGCACGUUCUGACGGUACCUAAUGAAAAAGCCCCGGCUAACUACGUG
rnacentral:rRNA from 1 species